rnacentral:rRNA from 1 species
GUGGGGAAUAUUGGACAAUGGGCGAAAGCCUGAUCCAGCCAUGCCGCGUGUGUGAAGAAGGUCUUCGGAUUGUAAAGCACUUUAAGUUGGGAGGAAGGGCAGUAAGUUAAUACCUUGCUGUUUUGACGUUACCGACAGAAUAAGCACCGGCUAACUUCGUGCCAGCAGCCGCGGUAAUACGAAGGGUGCAAGCGUUAAUCGGAAUUACUGGGCGUAAAGCGCGCGUAGGUGGUUUUGUAAGUUGGAGGUGAAAUCCCCGGGCUCAACCUGGGAACUGCCUCCAAAACUGCAUGACUAGAGUACGGUAGAGAGUAGUGGAAUUUCCUGUGUAGCGGUGAAAUGCGUAGAUAUAGGAAGGAACACCAGUGGCGAAGGCGACUACCUGGACUGAUACUGACACUGAGGUGCGAAAGCGUGGGGAGCAAACAGGAUUAGAAACCCGAGUAGUCC